GGUUUCAUGCAUGGGGUCAAGAAAGAGACUGAGACGUCCGCGUUAUCCUCUUGGCCUCGAAACGUUUGUCCGUCCGUCUUAUACGUAUACGUCGUUGAAAUUUUUAUUGUUCGUCCGAUCGAGUUAUUUGUUCGUCGAGUUGAAUUAUUUAUUCGUCGAGUCCAAUUAUUUGUCCGUUUAAUUCCCGGCGUAUAAGUCGCGAUCCCCGACGGGAUUGCAAAAUAUUUUUACUUAUAUCAUUGUUGUUGGUAAUUUAUUUUUCUUCUUCAUCUUGCUUCUCCAUGACAAUGUGAAAAGCGACCACAAAUUAUUAGAUUAUUACAAAAGGGGAUCACAACUUUGAAGAGGUUGGUAAACACCAGUCUAGUCUCUGGUCGAAUUGUUCAGUCGUCUUAUCUUAUGCUCGGUCCUGUCUUACGAUCGAUUUCAUAUUUCUCGUUUUGUAUAUUUGGUUCAAUCAACGCUACAAAGGAGCCUUCAAGUAGCUAUCGAUGAUGGAGGAGUUAGUAUAGUCGAAGAAAUCCUCGAACCGUACUCGAACCGACUGGGCGGAGUUCAGAAACUUCUGAACUUAACAGAUCUAUUAUUUCAAUAUCUUCUUACGAUAUGAUCGAGCGCAGUUUAAUUGAAAAGCGCGAAUAUCAAGACAUUCCGCAUCGCGUGGCUCCACCAUCUCUUGCACACUAAUUUAUUAAUUGAUAUAUUAGGCAAGUUAACAAGCGACCAGUUGUAGGCUGUAGACUUUGUUGCACAAACUACACCCUCUUACUUUCUUGUUUCAUCCUUUUAGACUCACCUACACUUUUUUAAUCUUAUUUAAAAAUGAAACAAACUUUUCAAAACUUUCUAUAAUAGUCACAUACUACAUUACACUUAAGUAAUUCUUUCCAAUUUAAACAAAUGAGUCGCGUUUUUCAAGUAAGAUAUUUCUGUUUCGUAUCGAUACAUCGCAAGAAUAAACGAUACAAGCUUUCAAAGGAGUAUGGGCAAGUAUCCACGACUGGCAGAGUACUUCUUAUCCGAAAUUUAUGAUCGCGCUAUAACGAGCAUCGUCGAUCGCCACUUGAAGCGUCCUUUACCAAAAGCGUGUACGCGAAAAGGUCGAAGAUCCUCUCGACCGACCAUCAAGAUUCUAGGGUGCUCGUCACGUGUUUCUCGUUGGGGAUGUUUUUCAAGGUUUCUUUCAGGCGUCACUUUUUCUCCCUUAUGGUACAACCACGUUGAGAGCCACGUCAAAUUUUCACCUUGUCAUUUAACACGUGCCGUCCAUUAUGUUCGUCAAGUCGAACGAACAAUUUAAUUCGACAACGUUGCUGGUUUCUUAACAAACUUGCACGAACCUACGUCAAUUUCGACGACGCCAUUCGCGUAUACGUGAGCGUUCUUACCUCGAUCAAGCGAAAGAGAGACUCGUUUCAAGUGUUUUUAGAACGUCGGCAAUUGCUACGAACAUCCUUUCAGGAGUUUCUCUCGUAACGGGCACCCAGAAUUUCCUUUCGUCUCAGCGAAAGUUUCCAGCGGUAUCGUUGACUCGAUCUUAAACACGAGCUCGCGUUGCUCGUAAAAAUAGACAAAAGAAAAUAGGAAGAUCUGCGAAUCGAAUCGUUCGAUGAGACAUUCUUUCGUACUCUCAAACUCUCAACGUUCCCAGAUGAUCUGUAAAGCCGGAUAUCCAAUGACUAUGCAAAAUGUCUGCGAAUGUUUGCGAACGUCGAUGUGGAUUUAUCUCGUGAAGAAUGCAAAGCACGCAUAAAUGGCAAAUAAUUGCGAAGGUAAAGAAAUUAAUUCGCUGUUCCGGCUUCGUAGCGAUUUUGUAGCAUCGAUGCUACUACCAAACGAUGCUGAUGACUUUGCGCGUUUGUUAAAAAUAUACAUCUGGUGGAUACCCGGCUUGAAGAUGGCCAGUAUCUUCCGAACUUCUUCGUACAUAUAUAUACGUGGUUUCAUCUUUGGUGUGUGCGAAGAGGAACAGAACGGAGUUAAUUAUUAACAGAAAAAGGAGGGGGAAAAUGAGAAAAAAGAGGAGCGAAAGGAAAGAAAAGAGAGGAAAUGGGGAAAUACAUAACGGACGCCCUCGAUUUUUCUUCACCUCUCAUCUACUUCUCUACGUUUCUACGUGUACUCUACUUGCACGCUUCUACACAGCUACCGGAUACUCGUACACUAGUCUAAUUGCGGCGUUUGCGACCACUUUCCUUCGCAAAAGCGCGGAAGGCAAAAACGAAGCCGAAAAGUGUUUGGUGUUCUUCUCUGUUUCGAACGUUUUCAACGAUUUUACAUGUAGAUGACGCGGGUGCACGUACACACGAGCCUCGACUCUUAUUUCCCCGCCGGAACAACAACGGAACAGUUUUAUUGUUACACGCUCUAUUUCCGGCUGAAAAUAUAUCAGGCUGACGCGAACGUAUGAGUGUACACACUGUAUAUAUGUGUGCGUAUGUGUGUGUGUAUGUGCGCGCGAACGCGAAUCGUUCUCAGCGAUGCGAUGUAUGCAAGAACAAGCUGUGGCGAAUAAAACUACGUAUCUCUAUGUGACGAAAAAAAAAGAAGAAAAAAAGAAAUGAGAAAGAGAGAAAUGAAACGAACGAAAGGCAAAAGCAACGACGGCGAAACGAAUAAUAGCACUUACCGUGACGACACAAGCAGAGUGCGUCAGCCAAAUUAAUCGAUACAUGUAUACAGGGUGAUAAAAAAGACUGAGACUUUAGUGGCUCAUAGCUCUCACCGAGAGAAGAAAAAAUGAUUAAUCAACGUAGAUCACGAGGGAACUAUAGUUACAUACUCGACUAGAGACGUACAGUAUAUUUUGAGAAGAGGAACGCGAUGUCCUCGGCUAAAACUCUCGAAACUGAAAGGAAUCGGUAAGAAGAGAAAAAGAGAUACAGGUGGAAGAGGUUGGAGAAAAAGAGAGAGAGAGAGAGAAAGAUUAAAGAAGAAUAUGUAUUAUAAUAUCAAAGAGCGUAUAUAGGGUAUAUAAUAUAAAGGAGGCGGAAACAACAACAACGCAAAUAACACAAAAGGUAAAUGACAAUAAUUUAUUGCUGUCAAGGGUAAUUACGUUCUACAAAGAAAUGAUAAAUCGUUGGUGUGUCCGAGCAAUAAGUACGAAAUUAUGUACUUAAGAAAGGCAAAAAGCACCGGCACGCAGAACCGUUCAGUAUAAAGUAUAUAGAAAGAGAGACACGCGUAUGAACUCGCUGAUCGGCGCGCUAUGAGAAGCAAACGAACGAUUCUUCGUCCGAUCGAUUGAUUGAUCGAUCGAUCGAUGAACGCGAACGAUCUAGCUGAUACAGCUUUCAUAUUUUCUAGCUAACAAUAAUGCACAAAACGUGCAGUCGCGAGAAAAGUAACAAAAAAAAAAGAAAGAAAAGACGAAAAGGAAAUAGACGCAGAAACGAUCAAAAGUAAAUACAUGUAUAUGUAUAUAUAUAUGCGGCAUAUUUUUACCGUCGGUUCUGCGAACACUGCACUCGUUAUUAAAGUAAUAAUAAUAAUAAUAAUAAUAAUAAUAAUAAUAAUAAUUAAUAAUAAUAAUAAUAAUUAAUAAUAAUCGUAGUAGUAGUAAUAGUAGUAGUGGUAAUAAUAAUAAUAAUAAUAAUAAUAAUAAUAAUAAUAAUAAUAAUAAUAAUAAUAUCAACGCGUUUGCAGGUAAUAAUGAACGGUGUACACGAAUGGUACGUAAACUAUUUUUCUUGUAUGUAUACAUAUAUAAGUUUUUAUACGUGUCAUAUACCGAGUUCUGUAGCCAUAGGUAACAUGUAUACGUCGACAAUUUUACAGCAUAAACAUACAUGAAACGCAAGAAAAAUAAUUACUACUGGUAGAAAUAAUAAAGGAGGAGAAUCUACUAGCAUACUAUAUAUGUGUAUAUAUAUCUAUAUCUGAGACGGUAGGUACCGCACAAAAAUUACAUAGAGGUGUAUACAAUGGUAAGGGAUUUGUAUGUCCGUCUCUGUAUAUGAGAAGCGAAAAGGACGAGAAACAAACGAAAGAGGAAAAGAAGAAAAAUACGGAGAAAAAAAUGAAAAAGAAAGACAGGUGGAGAGAUACUCGUGGAUCAAACAGGGAGGGUUUUUUUUUCAUGGAGUCUUCCAACGACGAGGGGCGGUUGUAACAAAGUAACAAAGUUUACUCAACAAGACAGUUCUCUGUUUAGUGACGAUAAAUAAAAAAAAAAAAGAAGAAGAAGUAAUCGUAUUGUAUAAACGAACGGGGCUUGUAGAAAGUCUACCAGGAGGUCUGUCGACACGCGGAGUCGAGAGACCACGUUGUGGAAUGACGAAAACACAUUACGAACGGAACGUCGAUAAGAAGAUUCUUAUAGAUAUAAUCUCUAAAUAGAUCUUUAUAGAUAUAAAGCAAGAAUCUUUGAUACGCGAGAUAUAUAUAUAUUUUUUUCUUAAAAUAACAUCUCACGUGUCAAGCUUCUAAGAAAAUCUUGAAAAUCAAUUUUGACGUCGAUAAUUUUCAUAAAUGUCCGAAUUUGGUGGAUUUUUUGGAUUCAAAAUCGAUGUUAAUCGGAGUAUUUUAAACAAGAAAUCAUAAAAUAUCUAAAAGAGAGUGUGUCGAUAUCGAAAGCUUCGAAUUACUGUUGUGUUUUAUGUGCUUCAGUUUUAUUACGAAAAUACGUGCUCUAUGUGUGCGCGUGUGCGUGUGUGUGUUUGUGUUUGGGAAUUAAUCCAGACCCUCGAGCAGUAGUAACUUAUAGCUGGACGUUGACGAGUAUAGCAAGCUGACGAAAACGAUAAACGAGGGGGGAAAAAAGAAAGAAAACAGAUUGCGAUAAUCGAUGUGGGCGUAAAACUUUAAAUCUCGACAUUGUUUUUAAAUAAAAAGUUAAUGUGCGGACCAGACAGUAAAUCGACCGAGUCAGACGCCUAACGUUAGAGACAUUGCUCUUUACUAAGUCGCGAGUUUUCUACCUAUAUUGAUAAUGAAAGCACUGCUAGUGAAAUUCCCACCAAAAGGAGUUUAAUUAUUGCUGUAUAAGCGAUACAAAAUUACAGGCUACUUAUUUAUUAUAUUAAACAAGAUUAGACCCAAACGAAGUAGCUUUCGAUGCUGAUUUUAAGAAAAAAAAAGAAAAAAAACAAACAAAAA